AUUGAACGCUGGCGGAAUGCUUUACACAUGCAAGUCGAACGGCAGCACGGGGCAACCUGGUGGCGAGUGGCGAACGGGUGAGUAAUACAUCGGAACGUGCCCAAUCGUGGGGGAUAACGUAGCGAAAGUUACGCUAAUACCGCAUACGAUCUACGGAUGAAAGCGGGGGAUCGCAAGACCUCGCGCGAAUGGAGCGGCCGAUGUCAGAUUAGGUAGUUGGUGGGGUAAAGGCUCACCAAGCCGACGAUCUGUAGCUGGUCUGAGAGGACGACCAGCCACACUGGGACUGCGACACGGCCCAGACUCCUACGGGAGGCAGCAGUGGGGAAUUUUGGACAAUGGGCGCAAGCCUGAUCCAGCCAUUCCGCGUGCAGGAUGAAGGCCUUCGGGUUGUAAACUGCUUUUGUACGGAGCGAAAAGGCUCUCUCUAAUACAGGGGGCUCAUGACGGUACCGUAAGAAUAAGCACCGGCUAACUACGUGCCAGCCGCCGCAGUAACAC
rnacentral:rRNA from 1 species